CCUACGGGUGGCAGCAGUGGGGAAUAUUGCACAAUGGGGGAAACCCUGAUGCAGCGACGCCGCGUGAGUGAAGAAGCGUUUCGGCGCGUAAAGCUCUGUCAGCGGGGAAGAAACACGGUUCGCGAGAGCCGCGGACGGUACCCGACCAAGAAGCCCCGGCUAACUACGUGCCAGCAGCCGCGGUAAUACGGAGGGGGCAAGCGUUAUCCGGAUUCACGGGGUGUAAAGGGAGCGUAGACGGCGAGACAAGUCUGGAGGGAAAGGCCGGGGCCCAACCCCGGGACUGCUCUGGAAACUGGCUGGAGGGAGUACAGGAGAGGUAAGGGGAAGUCGUGGUGUAGCGGUGAAAUGCGUAGAUAGUAGGAGGAACAC
rnacentral:rRNA from 1 species